rnacentral:rRNA from 1 species
UACGGAGGAUCCAAGCGUUAUCCGGAAUCAUUGGGUUUAAAGGGUCCGUAGGCGGUUUAAUAAGUCAGUGGUGAAAGCCCAUCGCUCAACGGUGGAACGGCCAUUGAUACUGUUAAACUUGAAUUAUUAGGAAGUAACUAGAAUAUGUAGUGUAGCGGUGAAAUGCUUAGAGAUUACAUGGAAUACCAAUUGCGAAGGCAGGUUACUACUAAUAUAUUGACGCUGAUGGACGAAAGCGUGGGUAGCGAACAGG